rnacentral:lncRNA from 1 species
UGCCUCACAGUUUAUUUCUGUGUUUUUUGUAGUCAGGACCUAUUUUUUUCAUUUCUGUGCACUGGGUGUGGCUAGGCUCUUUUUUGGUUUUUUGGUGUAUGACUGUGUGCUUAAGCUCUUUAUUGGUUUUUUGACAGUCAGGACCUGGUUUUGUGUUUCUGUGCACUAGGUGUGGCUGUUUGGCUAGGCUCUUUGUUGGUUUUUUGGAGUAUGGAUGUGUGGCUAGGCUCUCAUAGUCUCAUGUAGAUUGGUGAUCCAUGUCCUACAUCUUUGUUGAAAACCAAUCUUCCAUGUUAACUAAGCCGAUUAAACUAAAAUUUUAACUAACGCGAUGUUUGUUGAUAAUCAAAUGGAUAUGAAGUGGAUCAUUAGCCAACUAAUAUUAAUUGAUAUAUUAUUUCAUGCAAUUGGGUUUGAAUUUGUGUGGAUGUGUUGAUUAUUUCAAUUGAGUAUUAUUGAAAUUCUUGACAGCUUUGUGAUAUUGUUUGUUGUCAUUUCUAGGCUUUAUUUUCUCUAAGUUGUCAAUUUUAUUAUGUUUCUUUGUUGAGCUGAGUUUAUCUUCUUUUUUUUCCUUUUCAGAAUUAAAAGGUCCGAGGACAUCCAUGUGGAAAUAUGGAGAGGAUUGAUUCAACCCAGCGAUUUUAAGAAUGGUCUCCCGAAACCAACUUAUGAGUUAACUGUUAAAGGAGGAUACAAAUAGAAGGAAUCGAGGUUACAAGUAUAAAUUUGUAACUAUAUGGUUUAUAAUUGAUGAUUCUAGGUAUAUGAUAUUAACUCUAUUAUUAUGGAAUGAUUUUAGUAUAUAUAAGUAUAAUUUAUGCUAUUAGGUGUAUGAUACUCUAUUAUUAUAGUAUGAUGAUUUUAGUGUAGAAGUAUAAUUUUGUAACUUUAUGUUAUUAAUGGAUGAUUUNNNN